AACGAACGCUGGCGGCGUGGAUAAGACAUGCAAGUCGAACGCGAAUUUUCUUUCUAGCAAUAGUUGGAAAGUUUGAGUGGCGAAAGGGUGCGUAACACGUGGGCAAUCUACCUUCAUGUGGGGAUAACCCCGAGAAAUCGGGCGUAAUACCGCAUGUGGUUGAGGGUCUUAUGACCUAGAAAACCAAAAGCUGGGGAUCGCAAGACCUGGCGCAAGAAGUGGAGCCCGCGGCCUAUCAGCUAGUUGGUGAGGUAACGGCUCACCAAGGCUUACGGUAGCUGGUCUGAGAGGACGACCAGCCACA
rnacentral:rRNA from 1 species